AUGGAAGUGCCACCCUGUUCGGAAGACUCUCUGAAGUCCAACUGUGCUCCCGAAAUAGGAAAGGUGGGGACACUUGCAAAGGAACUCCAGGGAGGGGAGGCAGUGGUGGCGAGGCCACCUGACACUUCCCUCUGUCUUUGCCUAGCCUCUGGACCUGCUCCAGAUCACCUCUCCUGGCGUGUGCUUUCCCUCGCUCCUCGCUCUCAGAGCUGGACACGCACAGGAAGUCCGAGCCAGUGUCCACUCUUCAAGGUAAGGGACUCAAGCAACUGCUUAAGGAUGCUGCUAGAACAGAGGCCAUAAACAUGAGACAUGUGGAUCUACGGCUGUACUAUUUACUGGCGUGUGUGACUCGGGCAGCUAAAGUGCGACCAUUUGUCACAUGGAGUGGCAACGGGAUGGCCAGACUGGAACAUUUUUUUCCUCCAUCUUUGUGAAUACAAAGCCUUUUCCACCCCAGGUGAGCUUGGGUAGAGAAGCUGGAAGGAUUGGGAUUCACACAGCUUAGACCCAGACACGCAUUUUUGCUCAUUUUUUAUUCUGAUCGGGGUUAUUUGAUUCUAGAAAGGUGGCAUGUGGGAGUAAAAAGAGUACCAAGAGGAGGGAAGUGGGGAGGAGGCACUUCCCAGGAGUGCCAGUCAAUAAAGAGUAUCUUUAUUGAUACUCUUUAUUGUAC
rnacentral:lncRNA from 1 species